CACCUAGUUGGUGAGGUAACGGCUCACCAAGGCUAUGAUCGUUAGCUGGUCUGAGAGGAUGGCCAGCCACACUGGAACUGAGACACGGUCCAGACUCCUACGGGAGGCAGCAGUGGGGAAUCUUGCACAAUGGGCGAAAGCCUGAUGCAGCGACGCCGCGUGGGGGAUGAAGCUUUUCGGAGUGUAAACCCCUUUCGACCCGGACGAAUGCCCCGCAAGGGGACUGACGGUACGGGUAUAAGAAGCCCCGGCUAACUACGUGCCAGCAGCCGCGGUAAGACGUAGGGGGCCAGCGUUGCUCGGAAUUACUGGGUGUAAAGGGUUCGUAGGCGGUGUGGCAAGUCGGGAGUGAAAUCUCUGGGCUCAACCCAGAGGCUGCUUCCGAAACUGCUGUGCUUGAGUGUGGGAGAGGCGCGUGGAAUUGCAAGUGUAGCGGUGAAAUGCGUAGAUAUCUUGCA
rnacentral:rRNA from 1 species